rnacentral:rRNA from 1 species
AGAGUUUGAUCAUGGCUCAGAAUCAACGCUGGCGGCGUGCCUAACACAUGCAAGUCGAACGAGAAAGCGGGAGCAAUCCCAUGAGUAAAGUGGCGACCGGGUGAGUAACACGUGACUAACCUACCCUUGAGUGGGGAAUAACCUCGGGAAACCGAGGCUAAUACCGCAUAACAUCGCGAGGGGCAGAUCCUUGUGAUCAAAGGAGCAAUUCGCUUUAGGAGGGGGGCGCGGCUGAUUAGCUAGUUGGUAGGGUAACGGCCUACCAAGGCAAAGAUCAGUAUCCGGCCUGAGAGGGCGCACGGACACACUGGAACUGAAACACGGUCCAGACUCCUACGGGAGGCAGCAGUGGGGAAUUUUGCGCAAUGGGGGAAACCCUGACGCAGCAACGCCGCGUGGAGGAUGAAGUCCCUUGGGAUGUAAACUCCUUUCGAUCGGGACGAUUAUGACGGUACCGGAAGAAGAAGCACCGGCUAACUCUGUGCCAGCAGCCGCGGUAAUAC